GGAGCCUGCGGCUUAAUUUGACUCAACACGGGAAACCUCACCCGGCCCGGACACGGACAGGAUUGACAGAUUGAUAGCUCUUUCUCGAUUCCGUGGGUGGUGGUGCAUGGCCGUUCUUAGUUGGUGGAGCGAUUUGUCUGGUUAAUUCCGAUAACGAACGAGACUCUGGCAUGCUAACUAGUUACGCGACCCCCGAGCGGUCGGCGUCCCCCAACUUCUUAGAGGGACAAGUGGCGUUCAGCCACCCGAGAUUGAGCAUUAACAGGUCUGUGAUGCCUUUAGAUGUCCGGGGCUGCACGCGCGCUACACUGACUGGCUCAGCGUGUGCCUACCCUACGCCGCAGGCGCGGGUAACCCGUNNNNNNNNNNNNNNNNN
rfam:TPA: Bos taurus chromosome 25, whole genome shotgun sequence.